rnacentral:rRNA from 1 species
AUUGAACGCUGGCGGCAGGCCUAACACAUGCAAGUCGAACGAGUGGCGGACGGGUGAGUAAUGUCUGGGAAACUGCCUGAUGGAGGGGGAUAACUACUGGAAACGGUAGCUAAUACCGCAUACUAUCGGAUGUGCCCAGAUGGGAUUAGCUAGUAGGUGGGGUAAAGGCUCACCUAGGCGACGAUCCCUAGCUGGGCUGAGAGGAUGACCAGCCACACUGGAACUGAUGCACGGUCCAGACUCCUACGGGGCGCAGCAGUGGAGAGUAUUGCACAAUGGGCGCAAGCCUGAUGCAGCCAUGACGAGUGUAUGAAGAAGGCCUUCGGGUUGUAAAGUACUUUAAGCGGGGAGGCGUUACCCGCAUAAGAAGCACCGGCUAACUCCGUGCCAGCAGCCGCGGUAGUAC